CCCAAUUUGCUCAAGGCCCAAACCAGCAUAAAAAAACCAAUACAGAAACAUAAUAAUAAAAUCAAAUCCCAAUUAAAGCAAAACCAAUAAACAACAAAUGUCCACAGUCCAAAUUAUGAAAUUACAAACCCAUUUACAACCAAUCAAAACCCAAGACCCUAGCCCAAAUAACUCAACUAAACCCUAACCCCAAAAGGGCUCAAAACCUUAAAAUUUGCAGCAGAAAAAAAGAGAGGAAUCCUAAUACUGCCGCCUCCACCUCCACGUCGAUGUUCCCACGUACAGCCUCCGUACCUCUGUACCUGCGAAGAAGACAAACACAACAGACAUAGAGAAAUCGUAGCAAAAAAGAGAGCAAAACAAACGAAAUAUAUUCGGUUAUAAAAGGCUACAAGAAUCAUUAUGUAUUUUUUUACACACACAUGAGUAUAACAACCGAAAACAGAAAAGAAAUGAAAAAAGGUGAUUUUCGUUUCAUAUUUUUCUAUUGAUUUUAAUGCGGACACUGGACCAAAAAGGGGUAAGGGUUUUUUUCUCUCGAUUUUUCUUAGGCGGAGAAGGUUUGGCCUUCAAAUCCAUUUAAAAAGGGGGUCUGAAACACCCUGUUUUGUGCGACUCAGGCCAUAGGCCACGAUGGAGGUAGAGGCGCAUCAGACACCGAUGAAACCCACAAGCCGGGCAAGGGGGCUUGAGAGAGUUGAGAGAAAAAGAGGUUUUUUGAAUUUUUUUU
rnacentral:lncRNA from 1 species